rnacentral:rRNA from 1 species
GAUGAACGCUAGCGGCAGGCCUAACACAUGCAAGUCGAGGGGUAGUCCCGAUUUAUCGGGAUGAGACCGGCGCACGGGUGCGUAACGCGUAUGCAAUCUACCUUUUACAGGGGAAUAGCCCAGAGAAAUUUGGAUUAAUGCCCCAUAGUGUUAUAGAAUCGCAUGGUUUUAUAACUAAAGUUCCAACGGUAAAAGAUGAGCAUGCGUCCCAUUAGUUAGUUGGUAAGGUAACGGCUUACCAAGACGAUGAUGGGUAGGGGUCCUGAGAGGGAGAUCCCCCACACUGGUACUGAGACACGGACCAGACUCCUACGGGAGGCAGCAGUGAGGAAUAUUGGACAAUGGGCGCAAGCCUGAUCCAGCCAUGCCGCGUGCAGGAAGACGC